rnacentral:misc_RNA from 1 species
UUACCUAGUGCAUUUUAUAUAAUUAUAAUGGAUGAUAUUUCACCUCACGCCCUCCUCCCUACACAUGAAAAUUGACUCUAUUUGUGCAUGAAAAUAUCCAUCCCUAUAAUAACAGCAGGAGACAGAGUACAUGCUUAUCCGUGCCCAAGAGAGAGAGAGAUAAAACAAUUGGGUGACUCAAGAAGCAUUAAAGUAUCUAUACCUGAUUUCUAUCAAGUUGAAGACAUCUAGCCACUGGACCAAAGGCAAAAUCAUCAAUAUUAACAAAACCAGAUCCAGCAAAGUAUAAUAUAGUUCCAUCCUCCCUACAAAUGCCAACUUGUCCAAUGAAUGGUGCCAACCAUGAGACAACUGAGAGUGGAGUCCAAACUAGACAGCAUGGAAACUUGGCAUUAUUUGGAUCAAUUUCAUCUAGUGGCCACAAUUCAUGACGAAAUCCUGAUAUAGAACUCAUAUGCUCAAUGUCUGAAUCUCCUUUUACAUCCAUUAUGGAAAAUGUUCCGUGUGGCAUAUGGAUUCAGCACCUUUCUAUGAGGAAACAUAAAAUAUGUCAAACUACACCCCCAGACAUAAUGUACCGGUAAAAAGAGGCGGCGAAGAGGCCAAAAUAAAUUAAACAGGCUUGUAUAAAAUCAGCAAAGAAACCUUAGAGAAAAGAAAGUGUGAAAAAGAAGAAGAAACGUUUCUUUUCUUCUGGUAAUUGUUUAGACUGUUGCUGAAGGCUGCUGUGUUCAUGGUGUAUAGAGAAGCACAGAAGGGGGCUAAAGACCUAUUUAAUGAGAGGUUAGAUUAAAAAAAAUAAUAAAGAAUAAAAAUUCUAAAAAUGGGAAAUAAUAAAAAAUUAAAAUUGGUGAGAUUGUAUUUGGAAGAGGAAAAGGAA